rnacentral:rRNA from 1 species
UACAGAGGUCUCAAGCGUUGUUCGGAUUCAUUGGGCGUAAAGGGUGCGUAGGUGGCGCGUUAAGUCAGGUGUGAAAUUUCGGAGCUUAACUCCGAAACUGCAUUUUGAUACUGGCGUGCUUGAGGACUGGAGAGGAGACUGGAAUUCAUGGGUGUAGCAGUGAAAAUGCGUAGAGAUCAUGAGGAAGACCAGUGGCGAAGGCGGGGUCUCUGGACAGUUUCCUGACACUGAGGCACGAAGGCCAGGGGGAGCAAAACGGGG